rnacentral:tRNA from 1 species
GGGCAGUUACCAGAGUGGCCAAAUGGGGCAGACUGUAAAUCUGCUGGCGUACGCCUACGGUGGUUCGAAUCCAUCACUGCCCA